CCUUGACCUGCCGCUGAAUGAAGAAACAAACGCAGCCCGGCUAUUGGACACAGAAAAGUGUCCUAGAUGUCAGAGAAUGGAGGUUUAGAACGCGGGGGGAUAAAAACACAGAGGCAAAUCGUUUUAAAAAUAUAUCCAAAUUAGGUGUACAUAAAUAUGUUUUUCAAAAAAUCAACCUCUAGUGGUAUCCGGGGAAAGAAGAGAAUUUCGAAAUCAGGGGUGGACAAUAGAAAUCUUUGGGAAAGGUUCUUUAGUUCAGUGGUGCGUUGGCUAUCUGAAUGCCGUGGCCUGAAGUGCCUCAUAAAAAUAUCAGGCGGCGGAGGAGGGGGACGUGAAAGAAAAAUUGUCGGGACAUCACCCCCCUUCCCCACACCCCACCUCCCGGCCCUCCUGGAUGGCCUCGUAUGUUACACGAAAUUCUGGACGUCAUUACUACGCCAUUCUACUUGCAAAUAGGACUUCCACUGAUGGCUUCAGCCCUCACACCCCCAGGCCAGAAGCCAGCAGGACAUCCCAGGCACCGCAGCAGGAUCUGUCUGGGGUCCACAGGGCGCCAGCAGAGAGCUGACACCUGCUCACCAUCAUGGAGGAGCCUGCCAUCAAGAGGCACCUGAAGACAAUUCAACUCAACACUUCAGUCUAUGAAGAUGUGGCCACGUGUCUUCCAGUGCAGGGAUAUGUCUGGGAUACACAGCAGUAUCAUAUCAAGUUCAAGGCCCUCAGGGUGCCUACAAGAAGGUCCACAUGGCUCUUCUGUGCUCUGGGCCAGCCCCUCAGGCCUGCCCCUUCCACGAAGAGAUGGAUUGGGUGCUGCAGAUCAAGAUCAGCACCAGCCUGGCCAACCUCAGGGAGCAGACUCAGCCAUGGGAUCUCGACCACCACAACCAGCUGACACAGGGAGGAAAAAAAGUCAUUAGCAGAAAGAUGGGCCAGAAGGGCGCUCUCCCCAGCAGCAGCAGGGGCACCAGAACCAGAGGUGGAAGAUGGAGACAGAGCAUCCGUUUAAGCUAGAAGUAGAAGUGUUGGCGCUGUCCAGUGACCUCCGACCUGAAAGCCCAGCUGGUACCCAGACCAACAAGGCAGUCGAGAUGGAGAUUAGCCAGGAAGCCUAAGAAACUGGGCAGGUAAGUGGCCAGAUGUGUUCUACCAAAGCGCUAAUGCCAUAGGACUGGAUGGAGAAGGAGGUCACAGAUGAUAAAACCCAGGUCAAGAUCCCCUCAAAGGACCUGGAGCUCCUGAAAAUUUAAGAGAGUGUGGUUUCACUGCUGGUGUUGAAGCCAGCAUAUUAAAGCUGGAAAGGACACUGGGAGACCAUCUUUGCCUCUUAUAUUUUACAGAUGAGAAAACUAAGCCAGAGGAAAGUAAUGUGCAGAAGGUGACACUGCCAGUUAAUGCUAAGGCUGAAGCUAGAAGCCCAGCACAAUGAUCCUUCUACCAGUUUAUAACUGACUCUUGCCUUCAAUGUACUUUAUAACGGGGCAUCAUGGUAAUCUCUUCCAGCCUUAAAACUGGGGCCUGGGGAAAAAAUGGGAUAAGGAGAAGAGCUGGUAUUUCUCUCUAUCCUCCAACAGAAGUCCAGAGGGGGCCAGUCUCCAGACAGAAACCAGCCUCAGAGAGAAACUUCGUCAUCAGCUCCUGGGGUGUCUACAGUGCCCCCUAGAGCAGGUGGGCCAAGUGCACCAGCUGCAGCCCAGAGUCUGGCCCGCAGGUGCCACCUGACUGUUGCUGCCAUGAUUGCCACUGAUACAGCAGCAAACAGGCACCUGGUCAGUGAACUGGCCUGGGAAUCAGCUGCCCGGCUACAGGGCUACCGCGACCAGCACAGUCCCCACAUGGCAGCCCUGGUCCAGAUGGUCCAAGACACCUACAUUCAGCCCCGGUAAGUGGUAGCCAUUCUGCAGGACAGGAUGGUCUGAACCUACACUGGAACAUUCUUUCUUGUGUGAUGUUACGGUUUUCUCUCCCUCUCUGCCCCCCCGUCGCCUGCUGUUUCUAAAGGAAAAGGUGUUUUGUUAAACUUGGAAACCCUCACUACGUCCUUGCAGCGCAGAUGCCACCGAUGAACCUGAGGACUGACCUAAAAUGCCUCGUUUUCCCGCCUACCUGGUUCACCUAGAGAGGGGAUUCUGUUCACCUAACUUGUCCGGCUCCAAG